GAGCUGGGAGCCUGUUGGCAGGUCCCUCUUUUUAUUUUCGCUGAGAGCUUUCUUUUACUAAAUGCCACCAUCCUUACCUUUCAAGGUGUCUGCGUGCCUAAUUUUUCCUGGUUGUUAGACAAGAACCCGGAUUUUAGUUGAACUCUGGAGCAAAAAUCCUGCAUCAUUUGUAGGUGGGUGUCAUUGUGACUGGCUGCUACCUCCCCAUGAGUCUUCUAAAAUAAAACCUGCAAAUUCACAUCUUCCCCAUGCUUCCAGAGAAUGCAUAUUCUUCCUUUGAAAAAAGAAAACCAGCACUGUUCAUAAUAGCCAAGAUUUGGAAGCCACCUAAGUGUCCAUCAACAGAUGAAUGGAGAAACUGUGGUACAUAUACACAACGGAGUGCUAUUCAGCCAUAAAAAAGAAUGAUACUCUGUCAUCUGCAACAACAUGAAUGGAACUGGAGAUCAUUAUGUUGUUAAAUAAGCCAGACACAGAAAGACAAACAUCACAUAUUUUCACUUAUUUUGGGGAUAUAAAAGUCAAAACAAACUCAUGGAGAUAGAGAACAGAUAGACGGUUACCAGAGGCUAGGAGGAGGAGUGGUGGGGGGCAGUUAGUGAUGGUUAAUUGGUACAAAAAAAUGGUUAGAAAUAAUAAAUAAGACCUAGUAUUAGAUAGGACAACAGGAGGACUAUAGUCAAAAAUAAUUUAUUUGUACAUUUCAAAGUAACUAAAAGAGUGUAAUUGUAUUAUUUGUAGCACAUAGGAUAAAUGCUUGAGGUGACGGAUACCCCAUUUACCCUGAUGUGAUUAUUACACAUCGUAUGCCUGUACCAAAAGAUCUCAUGUACCUCAUAAAUACAUACACCUACUAUAUACCCACACAAAUUAAAAAUUAAAAAAAUUUAAAGAAAUUACAGUUUGUUGGUUUUGAAUAUUUGACCAAAUUUUUUACUAAGCACAGAUAGAUUGAAUAUAAUUUUAUUGUCCUUUUGACAUUAUGAUAAUGAAGGUAUCUACACAGAAGUCUGAGAUGAGAAAAAAAUGAUAUAAUAUCCACCUACUACAUAGUGGGUAGUUUAUAUACUAAAGUUAUUGUUAUGAGAAAGAAUGGCUUAGGAAUAUUAUUUAAAAUUAAUUAAGGGGUGUUAAAAAUAAAAUACCAAGUGUAAAAAUGACAAAGGCAAGAAGAAACAGUAUAUAAUGUGAGUAAAUCUUAAUCUUUCCAAGAGAGGAGACAGUACAUAAUGUCUAAAAUUGUUAAACCAUGAAAUAGAAAUAUAGUUAUUUUAUUCAUAAUUAAGGAGAUAACUACUAUAGCACGAAAUCGUGCCAAAAAUGGUUGCCUCUGGGAAAUGUGAUUAUAGAUAUUAUAAUAUUUUGGACUGUAAAAAUCUGCUUUUAAGACUGAGGAAAUACAAAUAGGACAAUAUUUAUUUGAAAUUUGUAUCCUCAGGGAGUGUAAAGAAAUUAAUGUAUCCACAAAAUAAUAAUAGCUGCUAUUUGAAAACAUAGUUUUCUUGAAAGUUAAAAUAGUAAUAGUCUUCUAAAAAUUUUGUUAGUUUUGGUUUUCUCUUUAAUCUGAGUUAUGUAGAAAAGUGCUUAUUUCAAAUUAGGUAGGCUUGUUUUAUUCCUUUUUCUGUCUUUUUUCUAUCAACUAGUGUUUUAUUGUGUUCAGAAAAUGCCAUGCAUUAAAAGACUACUUUUGAGAAUUUCUAGAGAUUUUCUUUGUUACUAAAGAGAUUUUUGUAAUUGUUACAUGGGAUUUUAAAAAGAAUGUAAAUUAUCCUUUUUGUCAAGUAUAAUGAUUUCUGAAACCUAGCUGUGUCAGAAU
rnacentral:lncRNA from 1 species